AAAGUAUCAGAACGGCUUUCACAAUUGAGAAAAGGAGAUUAACAUGGCUCGGCCGUGACCGACACUUUGGCAAAACAAUGGCAGCCUAUGGGAUGCUGGACCCACUCCCUUCCUAUGUCCACCAUCUCUCCAAUCUCUCCACACUUAAAGCACUAGAUCAGUGACCCUAACGCCAAACUAACCACUCUCAUUGCCAAACCUUCCCCGGCACACACACCCUCCUCCCAAAACCAAAUGGCAUGAACAUGAACCCAUCUCUAGGUCUUUGAGGGCCCGAAAAACUCUUGGGCCGGAUCAUUUUGGAUGGCCCAGAUAUUGACGAGUAGCAUUGUACCAGACAGGAUCUGAAAGCCUCCCACUAUGCAUUGUUCGAAUGAUUCACCGUAUGAGGGGGGCUACGGGCACAUUCUGAGUCCUUUGUUAUCAACAAUGAUGGCGUGGAGGUAACGGAAGCCUAGUGAAGUCGCGUGUUCUUCUGUGGAUUUGUCUGGACUCAAUGUGGUGUCAAUUUCGUCUGGCCUUCCUCUUAGUGCCUCUGGAUUGUUCAGUAACAAUGAGAGCCCAUUCAUUGUCCUUGUUUGAGUGUCACUGCCUGCUGUUAACAUAGCCUAUACACAUGAAAAUAACAAGAAGUGAAUGAUAUUAGUAAUAAAGUGCAAAUUUAGGGGGGCUCAGAUCGGGUGAUUCCAGCCUGCUUUGGUCACGGGUUUAGAUGGUUCGGUCUAAGGCUUAUCCCACUCAAUAUAGGGGCAGGUCAAGGUUUUUUUAGGCCUAACUUAAGAAGCCGAACAGACAACCCUAUCCUCCCAACAGCCUAAAUUAUUAUUAUUAUAUUAUUUUUGAUUGGCUGACACGUAGCAUGACUGCGAGGGCUGUAUAAGGCAGGUCGGGCUUGGCUCACAAAACAUGUAGCAAGCCGCUUACGGUCAAAACAUUACUUUCAAUAACUUCCAAUAACUAAAAGUAAUUAUUUUUCGGACAUGUGUUGAUUUCUGCACUCCUACUUUACGUGCAGAAAUCAAUUUGUGGAGUUAGAAAUUACUUCUCUAAAUAAAUUGAUCGUUUAGUUGUAAAAUGUAAUAAUUUCAUUAACUUUUUGGGUCUACUUCAAAGACCCAUAUUUGAUAUGAAACGGACCAAUGGCAAAAACAUUGCUUUGACAAAAUUUAUACUACACAUGGUGUGUAUUAUAAAAAUGUUAUGAUCAGAUAUGAAUGUUACAAUUGGUGUGGUGGAUGUUACGAAGGAGUAUAUAUUAAAAAUAGUGAAAAAUAGUUUGUUAUACGUAAUUGUGAUAAAUGUUAUAAUUUUUUGUGGUAAAAGAAAAAUUGUGAUUUUUUUUGUCACGAUUAAUUAUGGUGAAUGUUAUAAUCAAUUGUAAUAAUAUUAUACCUAGGCACAUUAUAUGCACUAUUUUUUUUAGGUGUGUACCAUAGCCACUCUCUACAAUUUUCGUCCUAUUUCCUUCAUUUAGGUCUCAUUCCCAGGAUUUCGCUGGUUCUGAAAGAAAAUGGUUUGGUAGUUUUUUUGUCAAAACAGAUCCAAUUAAAUUUUUAACUAGUUUUUUUUAAAGUUAAUUUUCACCGGGAAGAUUUGAGCUUAAUUUGUCAUUUUUUUAAAUUUUCCUUAUGUUAAGUGUGAUUAGUGAUUGACACAUAAUAUUACAAAUUAUUGGUCAUAUUCCUUCACAUUUUAGUAUUUUUUUGCAUAUUAAUUGUCUAACUUUAAUUGUUAUUUUGUGCAAAUAAAGUUUAAAGCAUUUUUCAGAUAAAAAAGAACUUUUUGAGAUGUGAUAAAAUGCAAAACAAAAGAUCCCGACCGGUCGAUCGGGCACGAGACAGUGGCUAAAUUGCUUCAACUGCUGAGAUUUCCCCCAAAGAAAAAAUAAAAGCUUCUGACAAAAAGCAUGUGAUUUCAUGUGCAGCUUUGUUUGACCAUGGAAAAUGACACUUCCACACAAAAAUAUAAUGUCAUGAUGCAUGAUGAGGCCAAGUCAAAGAAAAUGGCUAAACUUUCUCAUCCACGUGUUCUCUCUUUCCUCCGCGUUCUCGUCGCUCUUCCUCCUCUCGGCCGCCUCUCUCUCGGCUGCCUCACUCCUCUCUCUCACUCCUCUCCCGUGUCUUCUCUCUCUUUCUUCUCUAAAAGGAGAAGGAGGGCUUUUUUUAUUUAGGAGAGUUUUUUAUUUUUUAGUGCAGGAGAGAUCAGAGAGUUGGAAGAGUUUCCAAGUUUUGUUAGUUUUUAUUUUUAUGUUCUUAUCUCUCUGAAGUUUUUUAGUUUUUUUAGUUUAUGUUUAAUUAUACACUUUCAUUCUAAGUUAUAUACAUUAGACUAAAUUAGAAUAGUUUUAUUUUCUUCAAACACUUCUACUUUACGUUUUGUCAUUCCAAUAAAUUUUUGUCAAUUUAAAAUACUUACAUCUAAUUGUCCGCCUGGAAUUUGGGUUUUUACUUACUUUAAUCGAUUACAUUAUCACCGUCUUAAAUGGGGCGAUUUUAUGCUU
rnacentral:lncRNA from 1 species